UAAGCAAUAGAAAACGGUUGGGGGAUGAGCAAAAUGAAGUUAUCCAAUUUUUGUCAGAAAACAAACUGUUUAAGUGUCAUCUUUGUAAGUUGAUGGCAAAAUAUGAUUAUUACGGAAACCGCCCACCUUUUGUCUCAAAGCGCGUUGUUCUUUUAGAAAAAGCUUUUGUCCUUAAAGAUAUAUUUUCACCUUAUUCCGAACUUGAAAC